GCAUAUCAAUAAGCGGAGGAAAAGAAAAUAACAAUGAUUCCCCUAGUAACUGCGAGUGAAGAGGGACAAGCUCAAAUUUUAAAUCCAUCGGGUUUUACCUGAUCGAGUUGUAAUUUGAAGAGGCGUUUUCUGUGUUUCUGAUCAGUCCAAGUCCUUUGGGAUAAGGCAUCAUGGAGGGUGAGAAUCCCGUCCGGUUGAUCAGAUUCGCUUUACGAUACGCUUUCUAAGAGUCAAGUUGUUUGGGAUUGCAGCUUAAAAUGGGAGGUAAAUUUCUCCUAAGGCUAAAUAACGGCGAGAGACCGAUAGCGAACAAGUACCGUGAGGGAAAGAUGAAAAGAACUUUGAAAAGAGAGUUAAAUAGUACGUGAAAUUGUUGAAAGGGAAACGAUUGAAGCCAGUCGUACCUAUGGGUAAUCAGCCUUUUGGGUGUGAUUUUGUGGAGCGUGAGGAGUUAAACGCCUUCAUGCCUGCAUAUUCGUGCACUUUGGGUGUACUUGCCCGUAUGGUUGGUUAACAUCAAUUUUGGUGGUCAUAAAAUGACUGGAGGAAUGUAGCUUCGAUCUCGUAUUGAAGUGUUAUAGCCUUCGGUAGAUGUGAUGAUCGAGAUUGAGGAUUGCAACGGAUACCCUUCGGGGCUACCUGUCUGAUCUCUGAUCGUUGCUCUGGUGCCGAAAGCUUGCUUACGGUUAUCAAAGUCGAUGGUCAAUAGGUUAGAACGGGUUAAAUUCGUUAAGGAUGUUGACGUAAUGGCUUUAAACGAC
rnacentral:rRNA from 1 species